CGCUGGCUAAAUAAACGGACUCUUAAUUCUUCUCAAAGUGUGGUGUUUUCUCUAACUUACUCAGGUCCCUGAAGGGUGACUGUCUUCCGGAGGAGAGCGGAUCAACUACCGUGUGGGUGCCCUAAAAUUCAACAUCUGAGUCCUCAGCUUCUGACCCCAGGUUCAGGAAGCAAAGUGAUUAACAGAUGGUCGAGGCAGCCCUUUAGGUGGCUUAGGCCUGCCCUGUGGAGCAUCCCUGUUGGAGACUGCAGCCAGCUUGAGCGACGCGGAUCCUGAGAGCACUCCCAGGUAGGCAAUUACUCCAGUGGAACGCCUCACCAGAGCAGUGUGUGGCAUGCCCCUGUGGAGGAUCAGCGCAGUGGCUGAACACCGG
rnacentral:lncRNA from 10 species